GUCAACACUUGCUUUCUGAAAUUCAUGACCUUUACUUGGUUGGUUCUCCGUCUCACACAAACCAUCAGGCAGAUAAAGGACUCAUCACAACUGUUCAUCAACAGUGUAUUAGCAUGCUCAGAAUGAUGACAUCCUACACAGCCAUCAGCAGUCUUGAAACUAUAAUGUUAAUUAGAGUUUUCCUAUCUAACUACCUACAAAACUGAGACUGUGCCUGAAAGAGUUGCACAUCCUUGGUGGGUGAUGAUGAGUCAGCAUCCACAUUCCACAUAUCACUUAAAAUAUGGCACCCAGGAAAAUGUGUGCAUCUUAAUGACAGUGGACUACAGUUUCUUUUUCUUUUUUCCAGACAUUGUGAGCUCGUGAAACAUUUCUGUAUUAGUCGUCAAGCUCUGAAACCAAUUUGGUGUGGUGUUGCAACUAGAUCUAGAGGGUGCAUGGAAAUAUUUUUAUGGAGCCUCAAAGUUACAUAAAACACAGAAGGAGAAACCGAUAUAGCUGCAAGUUUUAUUCCUCCUUGAGGAUUCAGAAGAGAUGGAAAAUCCAUGGUAUUAAUACUGGAGCAGAUCCAGUGCUACUUCAAAUGUGCUUUUCAUUAGCAAGAACGAUAUUUUAAAUCUUUGAAGUAUUGGAAAUAAGACAACUAAACAAGAAAAACAAAAGUGAUUAUUCAACAAAGUUUGCGAAGCAGUGCCCUAGAGAACUCUCACUGCUAGCAGGCUGUCAAGAAUGUUCAUCAUGAUACCGUUUGCAACAGGAGAACAAGUACAACAAAGACCUUGAAAUCAAAAGUGAAACAACCCACUCUCCUUCCCCCCAAAAUAAAGGGAAAAAUAGGGAUAAAGUGAAAAAGAAGAAAAAUGCGUCAUGGCUGCUAUUGAAUCCAUUUAUUUUUUAACAAGCAUUUUCUCUGCUAGAAUUUUUACCGACACUGACAGCAAAAUGUGAGAGAGAGGCCUGAAGAGUAAGGAAAGAGAAAUCACACUUAGAGUCAAAUUUAAAAAGCUGCAUUUUUAAAGAUUAUAGAGUUCAACAGGAAUGUUUUUUGGUGUUCUUAUUGAAAUCACUUCCCAGCAAAUUGAAGCAUGGAUACAUCUGUAAGACACAAACAUCGCUUCCUCACUUUACAGAUACGAUUAUAAGGAUUACUACUGUUGGUUCAUUCUCAGUAGGGUGUUCCCACGAAGCGGAUUUAAGGGCAGAGAACAUAGCAGGAAAAUAGGGGAUACAAGUUGGACCAUAUAGACUGAGGCUGGCUUAGAGAGGCUAUUUCAGACCUCUGAGACCAAUCUUUUUCUUUGCCCAAAUCUUAGCUGAAGGUCUAAAAAAUGUUAUAACUCAACUCCAAGAAGAAAUAUGGUCUAAUCAUUACAGAGACAGGGGGGAACAACAAAAAUAGCAGACCUCUGAGGCACUAUCUUGACACCAGGGCACUUAUCCUGGGGACUGCAUGCUAUCCAGCAAAUUCUGUCUCUUCUGUUUUAUCACAUGACUUUUAAAAAUCUUGUAGUAUUCUAUCCAUUCUGUGCUUUCCCUCCUUUGCUCUUAGAACUGCAUAUCCUUAUUCCUUACAUUAAUUUUGUUAAUACUGUCAUAAACUCUUUUUGGACACUGAUUGUGUCCGCGUGUCCUGGCACUUGAGAAUUUGAGAAAAAGACAGAAAGAACAGUAGCUAAUGGGCUCUAAUAAGCUCAUUCAAAAAAACCAGCAUAUUCAUUAGAUUGAAAAUGGUGAAUUGAAAACCUACUCCUUUUCUCAGUCUCCCUAUUUUGAGUCUCAAAAGAAAUGUCUUCAAAUUACUAUA